rnacentral:lncRNA from 1 species
GAAAAUAUGUACUUCAAACUAAAAAGCUGAAAAUAUGAGCAUGUCAUUUAUAAAUUUUAUGAAGCAUAGAUAUCACAAACAAUAUCACUAAGUGAGGGUAACAUAUACAUAUUAUUUGUGCUUCUAUUAACAAACUAGUAAUAGUUCAAAGUGUAUGAGAAUCAGACACUGAAUAUAUUUCAUCCUAUACAGUUUGAAAAUAAAUCAGAAGAAGUGUAUGAUGCAAAAUUAGAAUAAACUGAAGAUCCUUUAUCAAUUGAAAAUGGGAAAGAAAUAUCAUCAAGUGUGAUGCAUUUUUCUACGAUUGAAGAAGUCAAGAUCAAACAAGAUUUAGACAAUAUGGAUAAUAUUGAUUUUAUUAGUGCCGAUGAUUUUAUUUUCAUCGUAAGCGUAAAAGUCUUUGUUCAACCUAAAGAAAAAAAAAAAUUUAAGUCGCUUAUUAAAGAUUCGAAAGAUGUCACAAAUAUGAUUUUAAGAUCAUCAUUAUCUAACAACUAGUAGUUAUAAGGACUGAUGAAUAUUCUAUGAUAAAAAAAAUAGAUUUCUAUACUAAUGAUUAUGUUGAUCAAAUUGAUUUCAUAUUUGGAGAUUGGUUCAAGAAAUCU